GAGUUUGAUCGUGGCUCAGGAUGAACGCUGGCGGCGUGCCUAAUACAUGCAAGUCGAGCGAACAGACGAGGAGCUUGCUCCUCUGACGUUAGCGGCGGACGGGUGAGUAACACGUGGAUAACCUACCUAUAAGACUGGGAUAACUUCGGGAAACCGGAGCUAAUACCGAAUAAUAUAUUGAACCGCAUGGUUCAAUAGUGAAAAACGGUUUUGCUGUCACUUAUAGAUGGAUCCGCGCCGCAUUAGCUAGUUGGUAGGGUAACGGCUUACCAAGGCGACGAUGCGUAGCCGACCUGAGAGGGUGAUCGGCCACACUGGAACUGAGACACGGUCCAGACUCCUACGGGAGGCAGCAGUAGGGAAUCUUCCGCAAUGGGCGAAAGCCUGACGGAGCAACGCCGCGUGAGUGAUGAAGGUCUUCGGAUCGUAAAACUCUGUUAUUAGGGAAGAACAAAUGUGUAAGUAACUAUGCACGUCUUGACGGUACCUAAUCAGAAAGCCACGGCUAACUACGUGCCAGCACG
rnacentral:rRNA from 1 species